ensembl:lncRNA
AUGACACACAAAAGUAGGUCAAGUAUGGAGAGUCCCCCCCAAAUUAUGGUUAAUAACAUGGAUAACCACAACAUUGUUGGUGAUACUACAAAACAAAGUAAUAUCAAAAUGUUAAAAGAAAAGGAACUAAUUGAAUAUGUUUCGAAUGCCUUAAAAAGUAGUUUACAUACAUUAGAUAAUUCAUUUUACACUAUUUUAAAAUCGGAAUCUGAUAAAAUAAACACAUUUUUUACUAGAAGAAAGGAUUUAAUUAAUAUAUUAUACAAUAGAAUAGAAGAAUCGGAAAAAAUGGGAUUAUUUUCUGUUGAUGAAAAUGAAAGCAAUAUAAGUAAUGGAGAUGGGUCGUUAAAUAUGCAUGACCUGGACGUUACAGAAAACGAGACUUCCGAAUUACAUCGAUUGAAUAAACUGGAUGAAAAUAAUACCUUAGAAGUGAAUAAUCUUUUACAUAAUAUUACUAGUCGAAAUAAAAAAUUAAAAAACGUAAUUGAAGGGUUAAUAAAAUCAUAUACAAAUUUAAAAAUAAUAAAAAUGAAAAAUGAAAAAAAAAUCAAUGUUUAUAAAAGUAGAGAAAAGGAUUUAUUACAAGCUUUGAAUAUAUUAAAAGAAAGAGAAAAUAAAAAAAUUAAUUUAUUAAAAAAAAAAGAAAAAUAUUACAAACAAAUUUUACUAGAAAAAGAAGAAUUUUUUAAAAAAGAAAAAAAUAAAAAUAAAGAAAAAAUGUUAUUACAAAUGAGAGAUAAAGAUAUAUUAUUACAAAAUGAGAUACAAAAAAUUGAAAAAGAAUGUGAAAAAAAAAUAAAUGCCAUUAAAGAUGAAUAUAUAAAAAAACAAAAUGAAAAUAUUAUAACAUUAGAAAAUGAAAAAAAUGAAUUUAUAAAUAAUACAUUAGAAAAGGAAUUAAACAAAAUGAAAGAAGUGUUAAGUUUAAAUUAUGAAGAAGAAAUGAAAAAAAAAGUCGAAGAAGUAAAAGAAAUUGCAGAAAAUAAUUAUAAUGCAAAAUUAGAAAAAUAUAAAGAAAAACAUGAAAAGAAUAAAAAUGAUUUUAUAAAUAAUUUAAUUAUUGAAAAGAAUAACGAAAUUGAAAAAUUAAAAAAUGAAAUAGAAAAUGAAAAAUUAAAAGAAAUGGAUGAAUUAAAAAAAACAAAUGAACAAUUGUUAAAUGAAAAUGUGGAAAAGGUAAAAAAUGAAUUAUUAGCCGAACACACAGAAAAAGUAAAUAUUACUACAAAAGAAAUUGAAUUAUUAAAAAAUGAGAUAAAACAAAAAAGUGAAGAGAUUGAAAAUGUAAAACAACAAUUAGAACAAUAUUAUACCAACGAAAUGGAAGUAUUAAAAAUGGAUUUACAAAAAAGUUAUGAAAAUACAAUCGAAGGUUUGAUAGCUGAAACAGUUAAAAAUGAAAAGGAAAAAAUGACUUUAUAUUAUGAAGAAAAAUUACAAACAGUACAAACAACAUUUCAAACAACAUUGGAUAUACAACAAAAAGAAUUAUAUGAAAAAUUAAAUUCGGAAAAAAUCAUAGAAGUAGAAAAAUUAAAUAAACAAAUAAAUAAUUUAGAAACACAAAUCGAAUCAUUAAAUAAAGAGAAAAAUGAUUUACUAAUAAAUGUAUCAUUGUUAACAAAAGAAAAAAAUAAUAUAUUAAAUAUGGUUCAAAAUUUAGAAGAUAAUAUAAAAAAUAAUGAAGAUAUAUAUAGUAAAAAUUUAAAAAUAUUAAAUGAUGAAAAUGAUAAACUUCAAAAAGAAAAAAAUGAAAUAUUACAAAAACAAAAAAAAGAAUCAGAAGAAAUAAGAGAACAGUUUGGUGAAUUAUUAGAAGAAGAAAUUAAAAGAAUAAAAAAUGAGUCCCAGCAAAAAGUAAAUAAUUAUUCACAAAAAUAUGAACAAAUAAAUGAAGAAUAUGAAAUGAAAAAAAAAGAAUAUACAGAGUUAUUAGAAAAAGUUAAUAAUAAAAAUAAAGAAUUGACUAUUAAAUAUGAGGAAAAUAUACAAAAAAUAAAUGAGUAUGAAGAUUUAAUUAAAACUUUAGAAAAUCAAACAAAAGAAAUUGUACAAAAAAAAAUUGAACAAUUAAAUGAUGAAUUUUUAAAAAAAAAAAAAACAUUGAUAAUGAAAAAAUAG